CCUACGGGACGCAGCAGUGGGGAAUAUUGCACAAUGGGGGAAACCCUGAUGCAGCGACGCCGCGUGAGUGAAGAAGUAUUUCGGUAUGUAAAGCUCUAUCAGCAGGGAAGAAGAAAGACGGUACCUGACUAAGAAGCCCCGGCUAACUACGUGCCAGCAGCCGCGGUAAUACGUAGGGGGCAAGCGUUAUCCGGAUUUACUGGGUGUAAAGGGAGCGUAGACGGCAGUGCAAGUCCGGAGUGAAAGCCCGGGGCUCAACCCUGGGACUGCUCUGGAAACUGUAAAGCUGGAGUGCGGGAGGGGCA
rnacentral:rRNA from 1 species